UUGAUAAAUAAUCAAUAUGGUAUGGGAAGGUCUGAGCUGCCGAAUAAUCUCUAGGUGGGAAACUUGUUAAAAACAGGUGCAUGGUACCAGAAAUUGAACCUGCAUGUCAGAAGCAUAGAGAUGUUGUGAAAUUUAAUAGAGUGCAACUCAAUUAAAUGCAGCUGAAUGAAAUCUACAUGUGUGGCUGGAAAUCCAUAGUGGCAGUUGAAUUAUAUGAAGUUAGAUACACUGGACAGAGUAGGCCAACUCUGUAACUUAAUUCAGAUUACUCUCAA
rnacentral:RNase_P_RNA from 2 species